rnacentral:rRNA from 1 species
ACGGAGGAUGCGAGCGUUGUCCGGAUUUACUGGGUGUAAAGGGUGCGUAGGCGGCGAUAUAAGUCAGUGGUGAAAUCUCUGGGCUCAACCCAGAAACUGCCAUUGAAACUGUGUAGCUUGAGUGAGGUAGAGGUAGGUGGAAUUCCCGGUGUAGCGGUGGAAUGCGUAGAGAUCGGGAGGAACACCAGUGGCGUAGGCGACCUACUGGACCUUAACUGACGCUGAGGCACGAAAGCGUGGGGAGCAAACAG